rnacentral:rRNA from 1 species
UGGGGAAUAUUGCACAAUGGGCGAAAGCCUGAUCCAGCCAUGCCGCGUGAGUGAAGAAGGUCUUCGGAUUGUAAAGCACUUUAAGUUGGGAGGAAGGGCAUUAACCUAAUACGUUAGUGUUUUGACGUUACCGACAGAAUAAGCACCGGCUAACUCUGUGCCAGCAGCCGCGGUAAUACAGAGGGUGCAAGCGUUAAUCGGAAUUACUGGGCGUAAAGCGCGCGUAGGUGGUUUGUUAAGUUGGAUGUGAAAUCCCCGGGCUCAACCUGGGAACUGCAUUCAAAACUGACUGACUAGAGUAUGGUAGAGGGUGGUGGAAUUUCCUGUGUAGCGGUGAAAUGCGUAGAUAUAGGAAGGAACACCAGUGGCGAAGGCGACCACCUGGACUAAUACUGACACUGAGGUGCGAAAGCGUGGGGAGCAAACA